rnacentral:rRNA from 1 species
UACGUAGGGGGCUAGCGUUGUCCGGAUUUAUUGGGCGUAAAGAGCUCGUAGGCGGUUUGUCGCGUCGUCUGUGAAAUCCCACGGCUCAACUGUGGGCUUGCAGGCGAUACGGGCAGGCUAGAGUUCGGUAGGGGAGACUGGAAUUCCUGGUGUAGCGGUGAAAUGCGCAGAUAUCAGGAGGAACACCGGUGGCGAAGGCGGGUCUCUGGGCCGAUACUGACGCUGAGGAGCGAAAGUGUGGGGAGCGAACAGG